rnacentral:misc_RNA from 1 species
UCUCCGUUGGUGAACCAGCGGAGGGAUCAUCACAGGACUCGCAAGACUCCUUACACCCUGUGAACCUUACUAUAUACGCGUUGCUUCGGCGGGUCCGCCCGCCGGCAGCAUACCACAUUCUGUUUCUCUGCGUUGGCGUCUCGAGAAAAAAGCAAAUAAGUUAAAACUUUCAACAACGGAUCUCUUGGUUCUG